AAGCCCCGCAAGCUGUCUGGUAUGAUUUGAAAGGUACAUAAUGGGAAGAUCUUCAACACUCAUGAACUGAUUACAGCGCGCAUUUCCGCACAAACCUGAUGAAAAUGAAGAUGAUAGUUGUUCUGGUAAUCCUGGCGAGUCUUGCAGUGCACUCGGACAGUUGCCCAUGCGUUAAAAGGAACCGUCGUUGUAAUUUGGGCAUCUGGGAACCACAGUGCUGUGAUUCCAUGACUUGUGUGCGACCAAAUGAAUGGGCAUUGUCUGGGAGAUGCGAUAAUGCUGAAUGACACUGUGGAGCCUAUGGAAAAAAGGGAACAAAACAGUACCUUAGCAAGCAAAUUGAACAGAAUAUUAUUAUAUAUUUACUCAAAAUGUUAAAAAAAUAAUAAUU